rnacentral:tmRNA from 1 species
GUAAUGGUUUCGACAGGGGUCUUGCAGCUGGAGAAGCUAUCCGCAUGCAAUGCGUUAAAUGGCAAACCUAAAUAUAAACGCUGAAGAUAAUACUCAGUUAGCAUUUGCAGCGUAAGCUGCAGAUGACGUCGCCCUAGGGCGGCUUGUCCCGCCUGCUGCACUCACACAGUGGGGCCGGGGCAUCAUGCUUGUGAGAAACGACAUAUGCAAAGCUUUGCGCAUGUGGGCGUAAUAUGAAGCUACCGAGCCGGACAGAUUGUCAGUUUUCUGCCCGAGGAGGGAACAGAGGGUUUGGGCCUUCGGAAAAACGGACUAUGAUAGUAGAAGGACAGGGAAUAGGCUUUUGGACACGGGUUCGACUCCCGUCUGGUCCA